rnacentral:rRNA from 1 species
CAUGGAACAUUUCAUUGCUAUCCAGUCAAUCAGCAGUUGCACUGACGCGUAAUCAGUGCAAUGCUAUUUCACGUGUGCAGUUAAAAGUCCGAGGUGACUUCGUUCGAGACGUGCCAGCUCAUGUGACGAUGCAUGUCGAUCCGGACAUCUCCGCGGAGAACAUAUCUGUUCAUUUAGUUCGAUGAGGUAUGGGAUCGCUCGUCAUAUACUCUGAGCACAAUAGAGUGUUCAAAGCAGGGCUUUACGUCAGUGUAUACAUGAGCAUGAAUUAUUUAAGAUAGGACCAUGGUUCUAUUCUUGUUGGAUAUACUACGAGGUGAAUGAAUAAAUAGGGGCAGUUGUGGGUAUUCGUAUUUCAACUAGUCAGAGGUGAUAUUCUUGGAGAUUUGGAAGACGCACUACUGUGAAAGCAUUUACCAAGGAUGUUUUCUUUACUCAAGAACGAAAGUUAGGGGAUCGAAGAUGAUUAGAUAUCAUCGUAGUCUUAACCAUAAACUAUGCCGACUAGGGAUUGGUGGGUGUUAUUAGCGACUCCAUCAGCACCCUAUGAGAAAUCAAAGUCUUUGGGUUCCGGGGGGAGUAUGGUCGCAAGGCUGAAACUUAAAGAAAUUGACGGAAGGGCACCCCCAGGAGUGGAGCCUGCGGCGUAAUUUGACUCAACACGGGGAAACUUACCAGGUCCAGACAUAGUGAGGAUUGACAGAUUGAGAGCUCUUUCUUGAUUCUAUGGGUGGUGGGGCAUGGCCGUUCUUAGUUGGUGGAGUGAUUUGUCUGGUUAAUUCCGUUAACGAACGAGACCCCCGCCUGCUAACUAGUCGCCUUAAUGCCUAGCAUUGAGGUGUACUUUUUAGAGGGACUUUCGGUGAUUAAUCGAAGGAAGUUGGGGGCAAUAACAGGUCUGUGAUGCCCUUAGAUGUCCUGGGCCGCACGCGCGGUACACUGACACACGCAGCGAGUUUUCCUUGUCCGAAAGGUGUGGGUAAUCUUGUAAAUGUGUGUCGUGAUAGGGAUAGAUUAUUGCAAUUAUUAAUCUUGAACGAGGAAUUCCUAGUAAAUGCGGGUCAUCAGCUCGCGUUGAUUACGUCCCUGCCCUUUGUACACACCGCCCGUCGCACCUACCGAUUGGAUGAUUCGGUGAAACUUUCGGACUGUGAUCAAGACGCUCUCGGGCGCAUCGGUCGCGGGAAGUUAUUAAACCUCAUCAUCUAGCGGACCAGGGAUUUUUUUACCCC